UACGUAGGGUGCAAGCGUUGUCCGGAUUUACUGGGCGUAAAGAGCUUGUAGGCGGCCACGCAGGUCCGUUGUGAAAACUGGAGGCUCAACCUUCAGACGUCGACGGAAACCGUGUGGCUAGAGUCCGGAAGAGGAGAGUGGAAUUCCUGGUGUAGCGGUGAAAUGCGCAGAUAUCAGGAAGAACACCAAUGGCGAAGGCAGCUCUCUGGGACGGUACUGACGCUGAGACGCGAAAGCGUGGGGAGCGAACAGG
rnacentral:rRNA from 1 species